CAAUCAUACUUCUACAGCAUCGAGAUAAUCACUGAUGAUCGAAUAGAAAUCCAAGUGAUCUUUUAUAUGGUCACGCUCAGUACUAGUUGUUCUCUAACAACUAUCUGCACUCGUCAUCCAGUGCUUCUACACUGUAGACUAGAGACCCAUCUAUCCCAAAAAAAGUGAUUUAUACGUCAGUCUAUUUGGAUCUAUCACUGUCUUCUUGAUGGUCCUA
rnacentral:lncRNA from 1 species